ACCUGGGUGGCUCAGUCGGUUAAGUGUCUGACUUCGGCUCAGGUCAUGAUCUCGCGGUUCGUGAGUUUGAGCCCCACCUCAGGCU
rnacentral:tRNA from 1 species